rnacentral:rRNA from 1 species
GAUGAACGCUAGCGGGAGGCCUAACACAUGCAAGCCGAGCGGGAUUUGUUGGUUAGCUUGCUAACUAACACUGAGAGCGGCGUACGGGUGCGUAGCACGUGUGCAACCUGCCUUUAUCUGGGGGAUAGCCUUUCGAAAGGAAGAUUAAUACCCCAUCACAUAUUGAUUGGCAUCAGUUAAUAUUGAAAGCUCCGGCGGAUAGAGAUGGGCACGCGUAAGAUUAGCUAGUUGGUGAGGUAACGGCUCACCAAGGCUGCGAUCUUUAGGGGGCCUGAGAGGGUGAUCCCCCACACUGGUACUGAGACACGGACCAGACUCCUACGGGAGGCAGCAGUGAGGAAUAUUGAACAAUGGGUGAGAGCCUGAUCCAGCCAUCCCGCGUGAAGGACUAAGGACCUAUGGUUUGUAAACUUCUUUUAUACAGGGAUAAACCUACUCUCGUGAGGGUAGCUGAAGGUACUGUAUGAAUAAGCACCGGCUAACUCCGUG